AAGCAUGUAUUACACUCUACGACUUAUGCUCUGCAUCUCUGUAGUGAGUCGGUGUGGCUCCCCUCCUGCCCAGCAGAGGGAGCGGCCUUACAGUGAGCGGAGCCACCGCCGCCUGUUCCCGCCCCCUGGAAGUCAAGGGGCGGGACAGGAAGUAUAAAAGCCAGCCGCCAGAGCUCAGUCAGGCCCUGGCCACCCCAGGGAGCAGACGUGCUGCCAGGAGCUUGAGACUGGGAAACCUCCAGGACCCGGGGCAGCCACCCAGAUUGGCCAGAGCUUCCCCGCACCCACUACCCAGAGGAGCCCCCAGAGCUUCGCCGUGCCUUCUACCCGGAGGAGCCGCUGGAGCCUCCCUGCCCCUGCUGCUACCCGGAGGAGCCGCCCGAGCACGCCUGGCCGGACUUCCCCGAGGAGCUGCCGGACCUGCCACCAAGCCCUGGCCGAGAGGAGCCCAUGCUGGUGGACUGGCCUGGGACCGAUGCCACGGACCAGGAACACCGGGGACCGGCCCGGAGCAGACGGCGCGUAGUGAGUUGGUGUGACUCCCCUCCGCCCUCGGGAGGGUCGAGCCCCGGCACGCACGUCUUACAAUCUCCUUGUUGGUGAGGAGACCUGGCUGGCAGACUGAGCCUCUGUUUGUCCCCUCAUCUUACUGUCACCUCCUAGCAAUAUCUAGCUGUAGCACACUGGCUGCACACAAUCUGCAAAGGUAAAAGUUGCAGGAAACCUCCCCAUGUUUCCUCCACCAAUAUAAACACAUAUGCACAAAUGCUCCUUUCCGACAAGGAAGUGUUUUCCACACAGCUGAGAAAAUGCCACGGAACCACCCAGUAAGGGGCAGGCCUAGGGGAAUCCUGCAAGCUGAGUUCCUGGCAGAUGGAAAGGCCAGCUCUUCAGGGAAUAGGAGAGAGCCCCAUUUGAAGAGGUGCCUAUAAAAUAAGGAGAAAUACUAAGAGGCUGCUUCUUUUGUAAUGACUUCCAACGGCCUAAAUCUGACGCUAACAAGAUGCGCUGAGAAGCCAUCAGCAAUUCUCUCUUCCUUUUCCUCCACCCCGCUUUGAGCUGAGAAUGCUGGGCUGAAGAGAGGACAUAUCGGCACGCUAUUGCUCAGGGAAGGGACAGCAGGUUCUUGAUCUUCAUAUUAAAUUCCUGGAGACUGUCAGGCAACAAGAUAAAGAAAUAUGAGCUCAGUUAAAGCCCUGCUACUUCAAUGAACACAUUUUGAAACUGAGCAACCUAGUAUAUGGAACUUAUAAACUCCACACAACCACUCGAAGUUUAUAAACUCUGCAGAGACAUCAGGGCUCUAUCAGAGGUUCAGUUAUUUAUUGUAGAUAUCACCAAGAUUAAUGAAGUCCCUGUCUACAUUAAGGAAAUUGGCACUAAUGUAAUUACCUGGAUGUAGUUACAAAAGUACAAACUUCCUUAAUAUAGACAGCUGUUUUUGUAAAAAUGAAUCUCGCACUAGAUCUCACUGAAGUAAAGACAAUGAAUAAAACAAAUGUGGAGAUUACAGACCAAGUGGGUGUUCCCCCUGCCCCACCUAAAUACAUACAUACAUACAUAAAAAAUAGAAAACUUUUCAAAAAGUUAAAGCCUUAUUUUUCUGUUUAAUUAGCGUAUCACCAAAAUACCUUUUAUCAAAUUACAUUUAACUUGCCCCAAACACUCUCCUAUGGCAAGAAAUUGCAGUAGGAAAAGAUAUUUUGAGAAAGUUAGAGUUGAAAAUUCAGGUUUGAAUGGAAAUUCACUGUUGUAAUCCUGGCCAUUUGUGGUGUUUAGAUAUGUUUGUAAUUGUUAGAACUGGGAGCACUGGCUGUUGGGAGUCUGAAAGGACAGGAAACAGGAAGGAGGGGGGAGGAGUCGAGGAGGCUGAGUGAGAGUU